UACGUAGGGUGCAAGCGUUGUCCGGAUUUACUGGGCGUAAAGAGCGCGCAGGCGGUCGUUCAAGUCGCGUGUGAAAGCCCCCGGCUCAACUGGGGAGGGUCACGCGAUACUGAUCGACUCGAAGGCAGGAGAGGGUAGUGGAAUUCCCGGUGUAGUGGUGAAAUGCGUAGAUAUCGGGAGGAACACCAGCGGCGAAGGCGGCACUCUGGGCUGGUACUGACGCUGAGGAGCGAAAGCGUGGGUAGCAAGCAGG
rnacentral:rRNA from 1 species